rnacentral:rRNA from 1 species
GCCAACGGCCAUACCAUGUUGAAUACACCGGUUCUCGUCCGAUCACCGAAGUUAAACAACAUCGGGCGUGGUUAGUACUUGGAUGGGUGACCACCUGGGAACACCACGUGCUGUUGGCU